rnacentral:rRNA from 1 species
CCUACGGGUGGCAGCAGUGGGGAAUAUUGCACAAUGGGGGAAACCCUGAUGCAGCAACGCCGCGUGAAGGAAGACGGUUUUCGGAUUGUAAACUUCUAUCAAUAGGGAAGAAAGAAAUGACGGUACCUAAAUAAGAAGCCCCGGCUAACUACGUGCCAGCAGCCGCGGUAAUACGUAGGGGGCAAGCGUUAUCCGGAAUUACUGGGUGUAAAGGGAGAGUAGGCGGCAAGGUAAGCGAUAUGUGAAAGCCUUAAGCUUAACUUAAGGAUGGCAUAACGAACUAUCUAGCUAGAGUACAGGAGAGGAAAGCGGAAUUCCUAGUGUAGCGGUGAAAUGCGUAGAUAUUAGGAAGAACAUCAGUGGCGAAGGCGACUAUCUGGCACAUAACUGACGCUGAGGAGCGAAAGCGUGGGUAGCAAACAGGAUUAGAUACCCGGGUAGUC